ACCGCAACUAGAGAAAGCCCACAUGAAGGAACAAAGACCCAACACAGCCAGAAAUAAAUAGAAAAUUAAUUAAUUAAAAACAAAGAAAAGUUUGUGAAAAAUGUGUUGUUCAGUGUCAGGUAUUAUAGGAAGGUCAAGGAGGAUGAAGACUGAAGAGAAAAGUCUAUUAGAUUGAAUAAUCAAUCAGGCAGAAAGACAGAAGAAUCUAAAUGAAGUGGUGGGGGAAUCAGGCACUCCUGUUUUAGGGUCCCGGGCAUGAAAUUUUCUUUACAGUUCAAAACCCUAAAAACAAAACUUUUCUGCUUUAAAUUCCUACUGUACUUAUUAUAAUACCACAAAUUUUGAAUGUCAGCUGUUACCUAUAUUAUUCUCUUUCAAGUAUUUUGCAAAAGUCCCUAAACAGACCGUAAGCUCCUCACAGGCAACAAUUAUGUUUUUAUACAGCUGUGUGUCUAACCCAAGACCAAGCACAGGGCGAGGCAGCCUCCAGAUGCUGCAUCAACACCUAAAUUGUGCUGAUACCUCGCCAUAUACCAGCAUGCGGCUAAGUUGUCUCUAGCUCAGUCUUAGAUCCCUUACUCAUAAGGGCAAGUCUAUGGGCAGCUAUGAGCCCUGCACAAGAAAAGAAAUUUAAAAACUUGUAUUUAGGGAAACGCUUGGUGGUCCAGUGGUUAGGACUGCACACUUUCACUGCUGAGGGCCCAGAUUCGAUCCCUGGUCGGGGAACUAAGAUCCCACAAGCAAGCAAGCAAGCAAUAAAUAAAUAAUAAAAAUUAAAACUUGUGCUUAUUAAAGGCCAUGCCAGUCACCUAUCCAGAAAGACUGAAGUUCCAUGUUUUGGAUACAUUUUUACAAUACUGUCUAGCUCACAAUGUUACUAUAUGUCAUUUAAGAGCAACAAGGUAAGUAUAAAUUCAGGUUAGAUUUAACAAUUUGGAAGACACUGUAUUUAAAACCUCUUAAAAACAUUCUAUCUAGCACCCAAAACUUGUUUGGACAUGAAUAUGUAAUCUGUGAUUCUUUCUGUGGCAGAAAAACAAAAAACAACAAACUUCCCUUGUCAAAGAGUGAGACCCAUGUCCAGUCACCAGCAUGCUGAAAAGAAGCCUGCUCCACAGCUCUGGGGUUGUGUGAAUGCCAAGUAAACUCAGCUCCUCCCCAGUCUGCAAACUGCUCUUUCAACAAAAUUCUGCCCAACUUAGACUGCAGAAACUAAACUGUAAGGAAGGUAUUUUGAUUUUAGCCUGUUAGAUAGGACUGCAAAUAAAUAGGAUGUUGUGUCCAGGAACAGUCUUACUGACUGCAUCAUCCUCCAUGAGACAAUAUUUAAAUUUACUCCUGAAAGUUUUCAACUGAAAGUGAGAAAUGAGUCCGAAAUAGGUAAUAAAGUGAUUACAAUCUCUUUGUUUAAUUGAAUGAGAAAGUUAACAUUUCUAUAAAACUAAGAAAUAGAAUGUAUUUUAUGGAGUUUGUGUUUUAUGUUCCGCUAGUCUUGGGUCCCAACAAUAUGCAAACAGCAGUUUUACUAAUGUGAAAAAUAAAUAAUUGAAUACAUUUCACAAGUAUAUUAUCUGCCCUCUGCCCCACUAAAAGUGAUGCAAAUUAUAGUUUCCCAAGUGCCGCAGUGGGCAGCUGGAAAUAGUCUCUGUCCAAUUAUACAAUGAGUUCUUUUGAGUUCGGGAAGAGGGUGAGGGAGACUGAAAUCACAGUGCAUCAGGCUUGAAUGUCUUUGUAUAUGUGUGUAUGUUGGGAAGCUAAUAAAGUGGUAGGUCAGUCCCUAAUUCAGUUUGGCUUUUUUUAAUGCUACACUCCAGUGCCUGAAAACUUUUACUCUUAAGGAGCAAGGACUGUGUACCUUACUAAGUGCCUAAGGCCAAAGUGUCAUUUUGCAUAUGAGGGAGUGCUGAGUUUGCUGUCAGCCAAGCCUUCUGCCUCCCAGGAGCCCCUGCUGGAGUUAAUUCACGUCCAGCAGUUGGGGAAAUCUUCAGAAUGUUAAAGACUGUCAGCUGCAACUUGGAGAGUACCAAAUAUGCCUGCCAGAUUUGUGAGAAUGUGGCCGAACCAAUGAGAUAGAAGGUGCAGAUCUUAAAUCUACUGGAGUUGGACACGUCAGAAAUGGAUAAUAAGUACUACAGAUCCUCACACAAGAAUUAGGAUUUUUCCAGACACUUAGCACCUAAGUAAUAUUUGUAUAUAUGUUGUGGAAAAUGCUGCUUGAAGGAAUGAUAGAGGCUGAGAGAGUUUGAAAUAUUUAUCCUCUGACUUGCCAAACCAUAAAAAUGCAACAAAAUGUACUGAGGUAAGACCUAAGAUGCUACUCUGAUGGCUCAGGAAGCAUCCCAAUAUCUCAGCAAUUUAAUAUAAGAGUGAUCAUGAUAAGGUGGAUAUGUGUAGCCAGAUCUGUUUUCAUAAUGUUUUAUAUAUCAGUAUUGUAAUAACUUAGCACGCCAACAGACACAGGUUUACACUCACAUUCUGCUUUCUCUUCUGUUUUACUCUAUAUUUUUGAAAACUGUCCAUACUGAUAUAGCUUCAGUCGGUAAUAGCCUCACUGAUGGGCACUUAGGGCAUAUCAACCUUAUAACGCUACAAUAAAAAUCCUAUACACAUAUGUUGUGGUCAUGUAUGACACCCUUUUCAGGAUAGCUUUCUUGAAGCAAAAUCACUGAAUCGAAGGGUAUGAACAUUUUAAAUAUUGAUAGAUACCGCUAAAUUGCCUUCUCACCGAUAACAUAUAAGCAUUUCCAUUUCAGCCAUUUCCAACCACACUGGAUACUAUCAGCCUUUUAGUUUUUGCCAGGUAAGUUUAAGUAUGAAUAAGGACAAGGUAAUGUUUUAUGGAGAGAAAUCCAGUAGUAAGAGGUACUGGGUAAGAGUGUGGGCACAACCAGUAACAACCAAAUGCCUGUCCUCCAGGGGCUCCUGCCUAGUUGCAGAGACCAACAAAUAAAAGAAUAACGAUGCAAGGUGAUAACUGAGAGAGGAGAAGGACAUUAAAAACGUCAAGAGAAACAGAUUAGCACCAAAUCUGCCUGCAGGGCUUGGGGAAGGUUUUCCUUCAUGAGAAAAUAAUAUUUGCUCUGAUGAUUGAAAGACGAGGAGAAACUCACUAUUAAGGAAGGUGGGAAAGGGCAUUCCAGGCAGGGAAGCAGCGUGGAGAAAGGCAUAUGGAGGCGUGAGUAUGAUUGGCAGUGGUGCAAGGUGGGAGUGAAGGGAAAGAUGUGGGCAAUUGGCUGUCAGGUCAGUCAGACCCUACCUACCAAGAAGGGUUUCCAGAGAGGGGUCAUGUAAUCAGAACUAUUUCAUAGAAAGAUAUUCUGGAUGCCUUGUAGAGAAUGAAUUGAGACUAAAAGUAUAUGUUACAGCUGGGAAAGAGAGGUUGAAGUCACUGCAGACAUUUCCCUGAAAAUAUCUGAAAACAAAACAAAUUGUGGUUUGACCACACAGAGUACUCUGUGUGGUUUGGGUCAUGAUACCUUUAUUCAACAAGUGUGUAUUGAAACCGUACCAUGAGUUCAGCAGAGCUAGAUGCUGAAAGAACUCAAAAAGCCAAUGAAAUAGCCACUGUUUUUUCAACACCUACAAUACACCAGGCACUUUUUAUACUUUGUCUAAUCUUUACAUUUGUCCUGCAGUAUCACAAAUGAGAAAACUGCGGUUGUUAAAGAAGCAGAGGGACUUCCCUGGUGGCGCAGUGGUUAAGAAUCCACCUGCCAGUGCAGGGGACACCAGUUC